GGUCACUGGGUGGCCUCUAGGAUUCCUGAGUCUGCAGUGCAUGGCUGAAUGUGAGCAGCACCUAGGCUGAGUCUGCCCCUCCCUCUGGUCUCCUUCCAACCCCUCAAGGGACUGAUGGAAAACUGAGUGGGUCCUGCCUCUUCCCCUGCCUGGGGGUACCUCUGCAGCAUCAUUGUCAGUGGUGACCACCAAAAUUAUCCAGUUCCAGCAUGGUCAAGAAGCUGAAUGUUCUCCUGCAGCCCCCAGGGUACCACGCACGGGGCUGGGCACACUGCAGGCUCCCAACAUAUGGAGAAGGCAGGGAAGCCAUCCUCUCCCAGGAAGGACAGAGUGUCCCUCCGUCCAGCCACUCUGCCUGCCUCCUCCAGCAGGACAUCAUAGAAAUCACAGCAUCUUGGGACAGACAGACAAACGCCUGAUCUCUAUGGCUGGGUUGUGGAGAGGACAGUGAGAAGAGACUACAAGGAGUAAAACAGUAGCAGAGACAAGGAGGGGGCUCCCCUGCAACCCCUGAGCUCUGGCCCACACCUCCUUUUCUCCCACGCGUUCCCUCCAGGGCAUCUCAGAUCCAUUCAACUGUGUGGGUUGAAUGGCAGCCCUCAAAAUAUACGUCCUCGCGCUAAUCCCCAGCCCCUAUGAAUGGGACCUAAAAGGGUCUUUGCAGAUGUGAUUAAAUUAAAGAACUUGAGAUGAGAUCAUCCUGGAUUACCCGGGUGGGCCUUAAAUCCAAUGACAAGUAUCCUUAUGAAGUGACACAAAAGAGAGAGACAGAGGAGAGGUGAGGGGAGACGGAGGCCAGGAUGGGAGUGACGCUGCCACAGCUGAGCAUCAUCUGAGACAACAGGAGCUGGAAGAGGCAAAGAGGGACUCUCCUCUAGAGUAUCUGGAGGGAGUGUGGCCCUGAUACCUUGAUCCUGGUCUCCAGAACUGUGAAAAUAAAUGCCCACUGUCUUA
ensembl:lncRNA ITPRIP-AS1 ITPRIP antisense RNA 1